UACCAGCACCCCGAGUGGUCGGGACGUUUAUUGGGCCUAAAGCAUCCGUAGCCGGUUCUACAAGUCUUCCGUUAAAUCCACCUGCUUAACAGAUGGGCUGCGGAAGAUACUAUAGAGCUAGGAGGCGGGAGAGGCAAGCGGUACUCGAUGGGUAGGGGUAAAAUCCGUUGAUCCAUUGAAGACCACCAGUGGCGAAGGCGGCUUGCCAGAACGCGCUCGACGGUGAGGGAUGAAAGCU
rnacentral:rRNA from 1 species